CCUACGGGAGGCAGCAGCUAGGAAUUUUGCGCAAUGGGCGAAAGCCUGACGCAGCAACGCCGCGUGGAGGAAGAAGGCCCUCGGGUCGUAAACUCCUUUUCUGAGGGAAGAAGAUCUGACGGUACCUCAGGAAUAAGCCACGGCUAACUACGUGCCAGCAGCCGCGGUAAUACGUAGGUGGCAAGCGUUGUCCGGAUUUACUGGGCGUAAAGCGCACGCAGGCGGUUCGUUAAGUCUGGGGUGAAAUCUCUCGGCUCAACUGGGAGGGGUCUUCAGAUACUGGCGGACUUGAGUGCAUCAGAGGAGAGUGGAAUUCCCGGUGUAGUGGUGAAAUGCGUAGAUAUCGGGAGGAACACCAGUGGCGAAGGCGGCUCUCUGGGGUGUUACUGACGCUGAGGUGCGAAAGCGUGGGGAGCGAACCGGAUUAGAUACCCCUGUA
rnacentral:rRNA from 1 species